rnacentral:miRNA from 1 species
GCCUGUUGUUCUCCCGCGAAGGCGGGAGCCCAGGGUUACGGGCGCUGUGGCGGGUAACCCUGGGCCCCCGCCUUCGCGGGGGAACAUACGAC